rnacentral:tRNA from 1 species
GAGGAUAUAGCCCAAUGGUAGAGCACAGCAUGCACAAGGUCCUGGGUUCAAUCCCCAGUACCUCCA